GUCUAUGGCCAUACCACCCUGGAUGUAGCUGAUCUUGUCUGAUCUCGGAAGCUAAGCAAGUUUGGGCCUGCUUAGUACUUGGAUGGGAGAAAAUAUAAUGUUAUAUGAU
rnacentral:rRNA from 1 species